AGAUUGAACGCUAGCGGGAUGCUUUACACAUGCAAGUCGAACGGCAGCGCGGACUUCGGUCUGGCGGCGAGUGGCGAACGGGUGAGUAAUAUAUCGGAACGUGCCCAGUAGCGGGGGAUAACUACGCGAAAGCGUGGCUAAUACCGCAUACGCCCGUACGGGGGAAAGGGGGGAUUCUUCGGAACCUCUCACUAUUGGAGCGGCCGAUAUCAGAUUAGCUAGUUGGUGAGGUAAAGGC
rnacentral:rRNA from 1 species